rnacentral:rRNA from 1 species
CAGUAGUGUAUAUCAAAAUUGUUGCGGUUAAAGCGCUCGUAGUUGGAUUACAAAAGCUCUAUGACGGCCAAGUCAAAAGUGUUUGGUCGUUGUGGGGUUUUUUUAUCGCGAGAGCCGUAUGUGGGAUUAAAUUCUUGUGUGCGGUCACUUGCGAGAUGUGCCUUGAAUAAAGCACAGUGCUCAAAGCAGGCGUAAGCUCGAAUGUAAUAGCAUGGAACGAAUAUGUUGAUCGUGUCGACUGUUGGUUGUUGACAUUGGUCUCGAUUAAAAGGGACAUUUGAGGGCGUUAGUACUUGGUGGCGAGGGGUGAAAUCCUUAGACCCAUCAAAGACUAACUAAUGCGAAAGCAUUCGCCAAGAGUGUUUUCAUUA